GUCCUAGUAUGGCUCUGCAGCGGCACUAUUACCCCAUUGAAGUGCCGCUCGAAGACAGACAAGGCAACCAUGUCUUAGGUGUAUUGCACACGGUAGCUACCCAAGGCCGCGUUGCCGCGCAAGCGGUUACCUAUUUGUAUAGCGCCUAGGGAACAUCGCGGCGUGUCACCCUGUUCGAGGCUCGAUACCGCUGCUGCCUCCGCCCUCCGUUACCUAAGCUCAUAGAUAGUCUAGGCUAACUGUCCAUACAAACGACCGCGUUUAAUCCUCACGAGACAACAAAACCGUCCAAGGGCAACGGCCUAGAGCAUCCGCCGCUGACGGGUGGCCUGCCGCUGGGGCAGGUUUGAGACCGGAAGCGCCGGCGGCUAAGCUCGUAACCACUACACCCGCUACGCCGUGACUGUCAAGUUGAUCCGGACUUGUCGUGGACGCUACCGGACUCGAACAGUCGCGGUCUGAACCUUGUCAGUUGACCGUUUCUGCUAGGCGUACGCGGCCCGACCUGUUUCUCAAAUUGUUCUCGUAGGGUGCCUAACUAACCAACCUUCCUCUUGACGUUGUUCUAUACGACGACUUUUUAGUUAUACCUCAAGCUCAGUCCAGCUACACGACGUCAUUGGAGCCGACUGGAUAGAACCCGGAAAGUUACCGCAGCACGAGACGUUGAAUACUAUAGGAUUAAGAUAACGAUACAACUCUAUAGAUGGAGGAUAUUGGACACAACUUCAGAAUUAUACGAAGACAGUACCGGAAGAAGUCAAACUUCAGUAAAGUACUUACACCUAUAUCCGAAGUCUUGAAUACGAUCUCGUCUCAAUUUAUGUGAUAAAAGACAAUUUUUUUGAGAAAUCAGGUCAACAAUCGUUUUAGCAUCGAAGAAGACCGGACGAAUAUUUAUAGAAACGAUACAAAAUGUAAGUUCGAUGGGUAAUCAAGAUAUAACGACGUGCAUGGGAAAAAUCCUGUCUACAAACGGUUUUAAUAACAUGGUUAAUAAGACCCACUACAAGAUAUACGAGUAACAAUUUUGAGGGUGUUAUUUUCAUAAAAAAGAAGAGUUCCGUUAAGCAUGUCUGUACUAAUGUUUUUGACCAACCCCAAAAGGGUAGGAUCGUUUAUAAGUGUAAAAGGAAACGUUUGUUUUUUCCUAUAAAGCGAAGUGUUUUUCAAUUGAAAGUGGAGUGCACGGAGGUAUGCAAAGAAUAUUUAAAGAUGGUAAGGUACAUAAAAUAUUUUAGGAUGAGGGAGGCAAAGGAUUUAUAUCCAUAAAAUCUCUAAAGUUACACCUAAUCUAUGCCUACAUAUAUCUACCUAAAAUCUCACUCUAAGUGGGUAAAGCGAGGCAUACGUCAAGUAUAACUUUAGAAGAUUUUUCUGAACAUAAAUCCUUGCCUCCCUCAUGGAAAAUAGCGGUUUUAACUGCCCACUUUGUAAACUCACCCACAAGUUACUUAAAUAGUCGUACUACACGCUAAUAAGACAAGAGACAAAAUUUAAAACAAUCGAAAGUCAAGGUACAACAUAGGGACAGUACUAACGAGGCGACUCACAAACGAGAAAGUUGUAAGAUAUAUCAUGCGAGUACGGAAACUUAUAAACGAGAGAUGCCUCAAAGGUAAAAAUUCAUACCACGAAACUAUCCUCUACAAAAGUACAGACACGUCUAGUCACGUCCCGCUACUUCCAUCGUUAUCUUUUUCACUACGGUUCGUCGUGCGUGACCACCACGUUCACAGUGCACGAAUUCUUUCGUUUUCUUAUAGAACCAGGCAUAAUGUGUUUCUGCUCGUUUAAGUCUAGUCUAAAGGUGUUUUAUUAUGUAGUGUACGACUGCCAACUACUCAAGCUCUGACGUACCUUUCACGACUGUCUCUGUGUACCAGAUUUUUUUGUGGUAAUGGAUUGCGUCUAGAUACUUUAUUCUAGUUUCACCAGUUUUGGUACGAAGUUCCCUUUUAAAACACGUUUUUACUGGUCGUCUUGCGUCGCUUUCGCGGUUGGCAUACGACUUCCCAUACAGGGACGUUCGACGUAGUACGUAAAUAAACAAGCUGUCAUGUACUCCGAAGAAAAGCUAUCCCUCCGUUCACUCUUGAUACUUCUCUCUCCGCAUGUUUUUAUUGUAGGGGUCACUACUUUUACUUGUUUAGUGACCUCAACGUACGACCACUACAGAUGUGAGCUCGAUACAAACUUUUAAAACCACUUGAUGACAUGCUCCGGCCUGUAAAGUCCCAUCUUCUCUAACUAUUUCCGUUCUACAUAACACCGCUGCGAUGGUGGGUCUCUUUGUACUGUUCAUCACGUCCCAUCUCAUAUUUCACCUCCAAUAACUACUCCCGUCCCUUGAGUGUACAGGAGCUAAAGGAUCCAUGUCUGGUCUAUGGUCGUUUCGUGUAAGAGUUCGCUACCUGUUUUCUACGUUCCCUAUACGACGGUCUAGUGAACCGUGUAGAAGUCUUCCUAUCUUAAAGUCAAUUUGAGUUAUUGUAAGUCUGUGAGAUUGGACAUGUGGGUACGUGAACUCCAACGUUCUGAACCUCUACGUUUGUGUAUUUGUAUACUUAUACGUUACCUAGAGAACUUUCUCGUUUAGGCCCUUGACUGUUGAUACCGUCGAUAGGUCUACCUUACCCGAAUCUUCUGUCUUAAAUCGGUCCGUUCUCCCUUUCGUUUCUUCGCUAAUGUACCGUACGUUGAGUGUUGCCUACAAACAUAACUGUGGCUUCCAUCACAUUAACCAUUAAAGUACCAAGAUUUCCGAGACCUCUCUAUCGCAUUCCGCCCGGCUGGUUGGUGGUCCACUCGUUCGGCGGUAUGCUACUGGACCCACGUUUUUCGUUUUUCAGGUUUUACCGUCAUGCGACCACGACCACCACGUACGCCACGUUCGCUUGUGUAAGCACGACCACCACGUACGCCACGUUCGCUUGUGUAAGCACGACCACCCGUGUUCUCGUAGUGGACAGGUGUCUCCCCACUAGAAGGAGCUUUUCUUUCCUUCCUUCGUUUUACAAGUUUGACCCCUCAACCACCAGUGUCCUUCUUGUGGACGUUGUUUGGAUUUCAACACUACGUACAACAACUUUGACCAUGAAAUGUCGUUGUCGUCGACACGUUCACUGGACUAAUCGUCCGGGACUUUCAAAUAACGCACAACAACUCCCGAGGCAUCGUCGAACAUAAUAUAAUACACAUUAUUAUUAUUGACAAUGACAUAUGAGACCCAACAACGAAGUCAAACGGGCUGGAUUAUGUAGCGGAAAACAAUAAACUCUAUUAAUCAUGGUAGAUUACCACCGAUGCGUACAAGGAGUUAUAAUGACUUUGAAGAUC
rnacentral:rRNA from 1 species